GGAUGCGAUCAUACCAGCACUAAAGCACCGGAUCCCAUCAGAACUCCGAAGUUAAGCGUGCUUGGGCCAGAGUAGUACUAGGAUGGGUGACCUCCUGGGAAGUCCUUGUGUUGCAUUCC
rnacentral:rRNA from 1 species